rnacentral:lncRNA from 10 species
UUCUCCUUUUCUCUAUGUUUUUUAUUUUGAACAAUCUCUAAGAUAUAUGUCACCCACACAGAGGGGGCAAGACCCAGGUAGACCAUAUAGUAUAGUCCCAUUUUUUAAACAAAACCAAACACCCAAAGCAGGGGAGUGUGAGGCCGACCCUCGGCCGGGGAGGCUGGACCCGGGCGCCCGGGCGGGGGUUGGCGCCUCAUGGAUCGGGAUCCUCGCCCGGGAGGGUGGACUCUCCCUUCAUUAAGACCCCCAGGUCCCAGGCAUGGAGGAGGCCUCGGCGCUUCCCCGUGGAGGCCUUCGACCAGGCAGCCUCAGUUUCCCCACGGGCGAAAGCCGACUCGAGGGUGGGGUGCCCUCGCCCCGCCUGCUCCUCACGGCGAUUGCCCCCGCGCCCCGGGCUGGACAGGUGGGGCGCCGCGAAAAGGCCCGGCAAGCCGGAAGUUGCAAUGGGGCAGCCGGACGCAAAACGCGGGGACACCGGCCGGGGUCCGCCAAGCUAGGGUGAGCUGCCGAUCGGGGACGCGAACGGGAGCGCGCAGGUGAGGGCGGCGGGGCGGGGCUGGGGCGGGGGCGGGGCCACUGAGGCUGCGGCCAAUCACCGGCGCCUCCCGUGGGCGGGGCGGGGCCGUUGCUUGGGCGACAGGCUCCAGCGUCUGCGUUCUGUGAACCUAGCCGCUGGGCUGUGCGGACAGGUUCGCGUGGGGCUCCUGGGCCUCCCGCAGCCGCGUGAUCCGCCAGCCUUGACCUCCCAAAGUGCUGGGAUUACAGGCAUGAGCCACCGCGCCCGGCCUAUAGUCAGUUACUGAGAGGGGUUGCUGUUGCCACAUGGCGACUGUGGUCACCGUCUCUCCUGGACCUGCCUAGAUCCAAAAGCCAGCCCUGGAAGGAACACCUCUCAUUCUCAAGAAGAAGUUAAUGUCUGCCUUACAGUAGAUGUCCAAUAAAUCUUCUUUGAACAAUUAAACAGAUGCUCAGACUUCAUUUGACCUAAUUUAGGUGAUCCUAUGGAGGGAUCCAAACCUUUGGACUCCCCCAGUAUCCCUGAAGUGGCCUCUUUUGCUGGUAGAGAAACUUUUGCCCAAGAGUCGGGACACAUCGACACAUCCACUUUUGGGGGGGCUUGGUGCACUCCUGGGACAGUGUGGGGUGAAAGGGUCCCUUUCAGGAGUGAAUUCCCUGACCCUGGACACUCAGCUCUCCUCCUGGUUGGCAGAGUGAAGAGUGUCAUGAUUUCCAGGACCCCUCCCCGCUUCAGCUUUCAGUUCAUCGCUCACUCUGGCUUGAAAACAGUACUGACUUGUUAAGUUGCAUGUCUCUCUUCGCCUUGAGGCUUAAAACACCUAGAAGCCGGGUGUGGUGGCUCGCACCUGUGGUCCCAGCUACUGAGCAGGCUGAGGCGGGAGACUUGCUUGAAGCCAGGAGUCCGAGACCAGCCUGGGUGAUAUAGCGAGACCACAUCUCUAAAAAAUCAAAAACAAAAACAGAACACCUGGCCAGGCACAGUGGCUCAGCCUAUAAUCCCAGCACUUUGGGAGGCAGAGGUGGGUGGAUUGCUUGAACCCAGGAGUUC